rnacentral:rRNA from 1 species
ACUGAACGCUGGCGGCAUGCCUUACACAUGCAAGUCGAACGGCAGCACGGGAGCUUGCUCCUGGUGGCGAGUGGCGAACGGGUGAGUAAUACAUCGGAACGUACCCUGAAGUGGGGGAUAACGUAGCGAAAGUUACGCUAAUACCGCAUAUUCUGUGAGCAGGAAAGAGGGGGAUCGCAAGACCUCUUGCUUUAGGAGCGGCCGAUGUCGGAUUAGCUAGUUGGUGAGGUAAAGGCUCACCAAGGCGACGAUCCGUAGCGGGUCUGAGAGGAUGAUCCGCCACACUGGGACUGAGACACGGCCCAGACUCCUACGGGAGGCAGCAGUGGGGAAUUUUGGACAAUGGGCGCAAGCCUGAUCCAGCCAUGCCGCGUGAGUGAAGAAGGCCU